rnacentral:rRNA from 1 species
AUGGGGUACCUCUCCUGCCGGGCGGACUCGUCCGCGGCGACGUGCCGCUCCAUCACGGCCAUCUCGCCGCUCCCCAUCUCUCGCCGCGCGAGGGGCCCCGCCGCCGCCGCCGCGCCGCCGCCCGCCGCCCCGCCGGAGAUCGAGCGCUUCGCGUACGACGACCUGGAGACCGCCACGUCCCGCUUCGCCGACGCCGCGCUGCUCGGGCGGGGCAGCCACGGGGCCGUCUACAAGGCCGUGCUCCCCUCGGGCCGCGCCGUCGCCGUCAAGCGCCCCUCCCCGCGCCGCGCCGAGGUGGACAACGAGAUCCGCAUCCUCUCCUCCGUGCGCGGCCCGCGGCUCGUCAACCUCCUCGGCUACUCCGACCCCGGCCCCGGCCCCGACCCGCUCCGCCGCCCGCGCCUGCUCGUCGUCGAGUACAUGCCCAACGGCACGCUCUACGACCUGCUCCACUCCAACCCGCGCCCGCCGGGAUGGCCGCGCCGCGUCCGCCUCGCGCUGCAGACCGCCAGGGCGCUCCGCGCGCUCCACGACGCCGAGCCCGCCGUCAUCCACCGCGACGUCAAGUCCGCCAACGUCCUGCUCGACGCCCACCUCGACGCGCACCUCGGCGACUUCGGCCUCGCCCUCCGCGUCCCCAAGAGGGACGGCGGCCCCGGCAAUGCCGCCACGCCGGCGCCCGCGGGCACGCUCGGGUACCUCGACCCGGCCUACGUCACCCCGGAGAGCCUCAGCACCAAGACGGACGUCUUCAGCUUCGGGAUCCUGCUGCUGGAGAUCAUGAGCGGACGCAAGGCCAUCGACGUUCAGUACUCGCCGCCCUCCGUCGUCGAGUGGGCGGUGCCCCUGCUACGCAAGGGGAAGGUCGUCGCGCUCUUUGACCCACGGGUGGCGCCGCCCCGCGACCCAGUCACUCGGAGGGACCUGGCUUCGCUGGCUGCAAGCUGUGUGCGGUCCUGCCGGGAGCGACGGCCUUCCAUGGCUGACAUUGUUGAGCGGCUCGCCGUCAUCAGCAAGGCGGUGUCUGCCAAGGUGUGGAACGGGAUGGCGGUGGUAGGGAACCCUUGUGCCAUUGUUGAUGUUCAGAAGACCAUCUCGAAGCGAGCUGCUGCAUCGGAGAAGGAAUCGACUUCAGCAUUGGCAUUUGAUGAUGAUGAAAAGGAGGCAGAUGCAACCUUGGAGGAGCUGGUGCCGCUGGUGGGUGCCAAGAAACCACCACGGCCACUGAAGAACGGAAAGGUGUUCUCUGAGGCAGGGGAUGGUGAGAGGAGAAAUCUCUUGGAGCUGAUGGCUCGGAUUGAUGGUGUUGCUGGCCAAAGAUUUGGCAUUAGUCGAGCGAGAACAGUGCGCGGCACUAGUGAUCUGAUACAAAAGGAUGCAGUCUUGAUCCUGAGGAGGAACCAAACCGUAAGAGUGGUUGAAUCGGAUGUACUCGGUAAAGUUGAAAGGGUUUCACGUUCAGAUGCAAGCAUCAAGCAUAAACCGGCAAAAGAAUUUCAAGAGAAACCAGAGAAAAUGCAUGACAAGGCCGAUGGAGUGCAAGAGAAAGCAGAGAAAAUCCAAGAGAAGGAAGAGAAAAUCCAAGAAAAUCCAAGGAAAACUGAGAAUAUCCAAGAAAAGACUGGGCAAAUCCUUGAGAAAGCUGAGAAAAUCCAAGGCAUGCCUGAGAAAGUCCAAGAAAAUGAAAGAAAAAUCCAAGAGCACACGGAGUUAGUCCAACACAAUGUGGAGAAGAUCCAAGACAAAGCUGAGAAAAUCCAAUGCAAGUUGAAAGAAAGUUAA